CCGGUAAACGGCGGCCGUAACUAUAACGGUCCUAAGGUAGCGAAAUUCCUUGUCGGGUAAGUUCCGACCUGCACGAAUGGCGUAAUGAUGGCCAGGCUGUCUCCACCCGAGACUCAGUGAAAUUGAACUCGCUGUGAAGAUGCAGUGUACCCGCGGCAAGACGGAAAGACCCCGUGAACCUUUACUAUAGCUUGACACUGAACAUUGAGCCUUGAUGUGUAGGAUAGG
rnacentral:rRNA from 1 species